rnacentral:rRNA from 1 species
UACGUAGGUGGCAAGCGUUGUCCGGAUUUACUGGGCGUAAAGAGCGCGCAGGCGGUCGUUCAAGUCGCGUGUGAAAGCCCCCGGCUCAACUGGGGAGGGUCACGCGAUACUGAUCGACUCGAAGGCAGGAGAGGGUAGUGGAAUUCCCGGUGUAGUGGUGAAAUGCGUAGAUAUCGGGAGGAACACCAGUGGCGAAGGCGGACUACCUGCCUGUUCUUGACGCUGAGGCGCGAAAGCUAGGGGAGCAAACGGG